AACGCGAAGAACCUUACCUGGUCUUGACAUCCACGGAAGUUUUCAGAGAUGAGAAUGUGCCUUCGGGAACCGUGAGACAGGUGCUGCAUGGCUGUCGUCAGCUCGUGUUGUGAAAUGUUGGGUUAAGUCCCGCAACGAGCGCAACCCUUAUCCUUUGUUGCCAGCGGUCCGGCCGGGAACUCAAAGGAGACUGCCAGUGAUAGACUGGAGGAAGGUGGGGAUGACGUCAAGUCAUCAUGGCCCUUACGACCAGGGCUACACACGUGCUACAGUGGCGCAUACAAAGAGAAGCGACCUCGCGAGAGCAAGCGGACCUCAUAAAGUGCGUCGUAGUCCGGAUUGGAGUCUGCAACUCGACUCCAUGAAGUCGGAAUCGCUAGUAAUCGUGGAUCAGAAUGCCACGGUGAAUACGUUCCCGGGUCUUGUACACACCG
rnacentral:rRNA from 1 species